rnacentral:rRNA from 1 species
GACGAACGCUGGCGGCGUGCCUAAUACAUGCAAGUUGAGCGCUGAAGGUUGGUACUUGUACCAACUGGAUGAGCAGCGAACGGGUGAGUAACGCGUUGGGAAUCUGCCUUUGAGCGGGGGACAACAUUUGGAAACGAAUGCUAAUACCGCAUAAAAACUUUAAACACAAGUUUUAAGUUUGAAAGAUGCAAUUGCAUCACUCAAAGAUGAUCCCGCGUUGUAUUAGCUAGUUGGUGAGGUAAAGGCUCACCAAGGCGAUGAUACAUAGCCGACCUGAGAGGGUGAUAGGCCACAUUGGGACUGAGACACGGCCCAAACUGCUACGGGAGGCAGCAGUAGGGAAUCUUCGGCAAUGGACGAAAGGCUGACCGAGCAACGCCGCGUGAGUGAAGAAGGGUUUCGGAUCGUAAAACUCGGUUGGUAGAGAAGAACGUUGGUGAGAGUGGAAAGCUCAUCAAGUGACGGUAACUACCCAGAAAGGGACGGCUAACUACGUG